rnacentral:lncRNA from 1 species
AAAUAUUUAAUUUAAUUUACAAUAACAAGAGUGCCCCCGAAUAAACAAAAGUAAAGAGGACUGUGAACCUACGGUUUGGAAAAUGCAGAUCCCACUUUAGUGCUCGAUGAGAUCAGCUAUCUACAGUCUAUAUUGAACCUGAAAUGGGUGGAAAGGAGGGUGGUGAGAUUAUAAAAUCCCAAUGAGUAAACAAACAUCAUCAUAAACAUCUAGAGUUGAGUACAUGCAGACAAUAAAGUAAAUCAUCAUAAACUGGGUUAUACAAUUAGAACACAUCUCGUUCAAAAUACGUAAAAAGGCUUAUGAAUCUCACAAAAAUCUAGGCUUGUGCCAUAAAUCCAUUCUUGGGGACACUUUGGCCGAGGCAUCCUACCGAGACCGCCAAGGCUAUUAAAAUUCACAUUUCACAUUAAUCAUGUUUUUGUUUUGAAAACAUAGCCGUUCCUUGGCGUUGACUGAGUUCCCCCUCCGUGGUGGUUUAGCGUGAAGUGAACCCUAAACUUUACCUCAGGAGAUACCCUACGCGCUUCUCCGUUCGAGGUAAGAAUAUAAUGGGGUUUACCGUGCCCCUCUAAAAGGCUAGUCAACAGAAACCCCCUACUAUAGUGAUUAAUUAAUAUAUAAUCCACCAUAUAAUAAAACUCAAUAACAUGAUAUGGCAAUUUUGUAAUUCGUAGUUUUUCAAGGUAACCAAACAAUUCGCAUUUCAAUACAAUUGCCAACUAGCCAAUCAUGCUCGAUUUAUCAUAAGCCAGUUAAUUUAAACAAUCAAAUUGCCACAAUUAACAGUCUCCGUGUACUCUAUUUUUCAAAAUCACUAUUAAUUUCAAAACAAUUUAUAAUUUAAUUUCAUUGAAACUCAUUUAUUCAUAAAACAUGAAAAUUUAUCUUUUUAAAUUCCUUUUUCCAUAGAAUUCAUGAAAGCAUCUAAAAACCACCCUAGAUAAUUAAAAUGACAGUAAGUUUACUCACAAUGUCUAGAAUGCAGACUUUCGAAGCACUCUGUCUACUGGUCCUCGGAUGCAAUUUCCUUGCCUUUAUCGGAGGACUCACCACCUUGACACAGUACAAAAUCGAGAGUUUCACCAAGUUGGUACUAAAUCAAAAUUAAACUAAUUUAGACUACCAAUGCAUGAUAUGGAAUGCAAAAAUGCACUGGUAACUAUCUAAACCCGGUAUUGGCCUAAUUCGUCUUAUCACCCGAUUAAAUUCCUAACGGGUCCGUUUAAACUCCAAUUUAAUUCUUUUCAGUUUCUAUACCUCAAUUGCACCCAAAUUAACUUAAUGUCCCUCAGUGUGGUGCAAAUUAUCAGUCCCAACAGCAAAUUACGAAAAUACCCCUAGUGGGUAAAAAUUCGUAUUUUUGCUCCGAAAAUUCCCAUUAUUUUUCUAGGCUCAUAAUUCAUUAUUCCUUAACCAAUUCUCCUAGAAUAAAAUCAAACUCAUCCUCACUCACUACAUGGUAAAUUCAGCCAUUAAUGGUUGGGGGAGAAAAUAAAUUCUUUUCUUGUUGUUUUGUUUCUAAAUAUGCUAAACUAACUAAAAACACUAACAUAAAUUAAAAUCAAAUAAAUCCAACAACUUUCUCUCUCCUAACCCAUUUUUUCAGAAUUGAAUUCAUCAUGAAAACAUGUAAUUUAAUCAUGGAAAAUAAAGAGAAAUGCUUGGGAAUAAGAAAACUCAAGCUUAAUAAAAAAAACUCACCUUUUUCACUUAAUUUCCUUGAAAAUUCACACUUUUUCUUUGAUUUUCUCUCUCUAGGGUUUUGUUUUUGUUUUCUCUCUCUUCUUGCUGGUUUGGCCGGCCAUGGGGUGGAAGAUGGGCUGAUUUUGUGCCUUUUAAAAAGGAAAAUAAUAAAUUAAUAAAGGCAUGACACAUGGCAUCAUGUCAUUGGCCCGUUUUUAAAAUUUUAAAAAUUUAAACAUUUUAUCUCCACCACAUGUUUAGUCAAGGGUCAAAGAUGAAGACAAAGGAAGACCAUGUGCUGGAAAAAAUAUCCUGGUGGUGGAAAAUUACAAUUUUGCCCCUGAGGUGGCAAAAUUACCAUUUUACCCCUAUACUCCAAAUUAUACCGAAAUUAAAAUUUUUCACUUCUAAACCUCAAAUCAUACUUCAAUAAGUCAAAUUAUACUCCAAUAAGUCAAAUGGGGUCAAAAAAAUCUUUUCUAAAAUUCCCAUUUUGUCCCCAGGUGGCAAAUGACCAUUUUGCCCCUAGUUAGUGAAAAUUCCGAUUUGACUCCAAAUUGAUCCUCAAACUCCAAAUUACCAUUUUAAGUCAUCCAUGAACUGUGAAACUCUUAAUCUCACCUUAAAAUUCCUAUUUGAUCUAGUUCGAGGAUUAAAUAAACUUUGUUGUACCUCUAGGUACAAUACCGACUUUUGUAAAUUUUUCGGGACUCUCCUAGCAUGCAAUCAUGCUAUCAUCACAUGUAUGUCAUGAAUAGUAUUUUAUAAGGUCGGGCUUUACAGCACUACCCCCCUUAAAAUAAAAUUUUGACCUCAAAAUUUCACUUACCUGAUUCGAAUAAAAGAUGUGGAUAUUGGUUUCUCAUCUGGCUCUCGAC